GACGAACGCUGGCGGCGUGCUUAACACAUGCAAGUCGAACGGAAAGGCCCUGCUUUUGUGGGGUGCUCGAGCGGCGAACGGGUGAGUAACACGUGAGUCACCUGCCCUUGACUUUGGGAUAACUUCAGGAAACUGGGGCUAAUACCGGAUAGGAGCUCCUGCUGCAUGGUGGGGGUUGGAACGUUUCGGCGGUUGGGGAUGGUCUCGCGGCUUAUCAGCUUGUUGGUGGGGUAGUGGCUUACCAAGGCUUUGACGGGUAGCCGGCCUGAGAGGGUGACCGGCCACAUUGGGACUGAGAUACGGCCCAGACUCCUACGGGAGGCAGCAGUGGGGAAUAUUGCACAAUGGGCGGAAGCCUGAUGCAGCAACGCCGCGUGCGGGAUGAAGGCCUUCGGGUUGUAAACCGCUUUCGCCUGUGACGAAGCGUGAGUGACGGUAAUGGGUAAAGAAGCACCGGCUAACUACGUG
rnacentral:rRNA from 1 species